rnacentral:snRNA from 1 species
GUGUUCGCUUUGGCAGCACAUAUACUAAAAUUAGAACAUACAGAGAAGAUUAGCAUGGCCCCUGUGCAAGGAUGACAUGCAAAUUCGUGAAGCAUUCCAUAUUUAA